rnacentral:lncRNA from 1 species
CAAUGGGCAAUGCGGGGACCCGAGUUCUUUGUGAAUAUCCAAAUACCUAUUUUGGUGGACUGAGUUCGUCAGAUCUGGAUGUAUUUCUCCAUUCCAGGAGUGAUGAGCAAAAUGAAGCCUAGUUAUUAGAUUUUUGAGAGUUAACUGCAUGGAUUUGAUAGUAGCCUCUGCAUGCCCGUUGGAUUGGGUGAGUACGGGGAUGCGAGCUCACGUUUAAUGCCAUAUCCUUGCAGAAGUCCCCAAAUUCCGUUUAGAAUUGUGGUACACCGUCCGUUCGAAUAUGCAUUGUAAACCCCAUUUCUUCAAACCACGUCAACAUGAUAUAAGUGACAGACUUAGUUGAAGUUAUUUGUGAAUGACUUAUGAGGACAACGUGAUAAGGCAUCAACUAUUUGGUGCUCUUUCCCUGGGACCCUUUUAAUUUCAUAACAAUAUCUUACCACCUUCUUCAAAAUACGUUUGAUCCUUGAUUUUUCCGUUAAGUCUAUAUAAGAGCCGCGAAACAUUCCUAUGAGAGUUUUAUGGUCUGUAACUAUUUUAACCUUAGUAUCCAAUAACUAAGUUCUACAUUUGAGGAUAUCCUAUUGAAUGGCCAAGUUUUAAUUUCGCAAACUGCAUAUCUUGUUUCAGCCUCUUUUAAAUAUCGUGAACCACUUUGAAUUUAUCUAGUAGAGCAAUCCCUGUGGAUUUGUAUAAGAGCAAAACCAAUGCCCCAAGGACGUAAAACAUCCACUAGGAGUGUGAUGGGUAGGUUUUGAUCGAAGUGAGCGAGAACAGAGUCUUUUGGAUCGUAGACCGCAAAGCUAUUGUGUAAUAUGUGAUUAACAAGGUCAACAAAUGAUCUGAGAUUAGUCAAAUUGCUUGGUGAAGGAAAUUGGGCGAUGGCUGCGACUUCUUCUGGGUCCGGUGAUAUGCCGUUGAAUGAAACAAUAUAUCUCGCAAACAUAACAGAUUCACCUAUUUGAUUUAGUUUUGGUAGUGUGAUAUUAUUCUCCUUACAUCGAACAAGAAAUAGUUUGACUAUUUAUAAGCGAAUAUAAGGAUGUCAUCGACAAUUUUCUUUAAUCCUUUCAAACCUUCUAAUGUUUUGUCACCUCUCAAACAAAGUUCAUCUCUGGAAGCGUUCAGCCCCAUUUGAAGCUCUACAGUAUAAUAAAUAUCAAGAGGAUGUAAGGAAUGUGGUCAGGUUUCGAAACUUUCAUGGAGUUCAACCUGCCAAUAUCCGGUAGUGGUAUCUAAGAUAACAAAACAUAAUCAAAUUCACCAAUAAUACUUUUUCUUCCGCUUUCAUAUUUUUGAAAGAUGUAUCCCCUUCGUCGAUACUAUCUUACAGAUGAUAUAUUUAAUUGGAGAUACUUGAAUGACUUAAGGAGAAGAUUCAGAUCUGGAGUAACGUAAGCCGUGAUAUCUGUUUCUGGGAUUUCUCCAAUUUUUAUACGAAGACGGACUUUUUGAAUUGUUCGCUGUUGUGAUGGAUAGUUUUUUAGUUGAGUCUAUUUCGAUGUUGUACUCCAAUACAAAGUCGUGAGAUAAGAGACUCAGUGAAUCCUAUGUCAAGCAGAGCUUUCAUCGUAAAAGGUUGACUUGACCUUGGACAAAAUUUACAUCGAGAUAUGGAGUGACAUGAUCGAUGGGUAACCCAUUCACUCGGAUUCGUCGACGUUUUGAUUGCCUCUGCACUAGAGAUUUUCAGUUAUAGAAGCAUAUUUUCUAUAAAUGGGCCUACUUUUGCAUUUCUUACAUGUAUAAGGAAAAUAAGG